GAGGAAGCGAUGAUUAUAAAAAAUAAUUCCUCGUUCUGAUAGCUCGAAAUGGGCAUGACAGACAUCUUAUUACACCCAUAGAAUCUGAGCUCC
rfam:Gossypium hirsutum cultivar TM-1 chromosome 2, whole genome shotgun sequence